GUCGUGCUCGGAACUUGUCACUUUUGAUCAGGGGCGUAGCUACCGCCGUAUUUGCCGUAUCAAUUAUACGGGACCCCCGGGCCACGGGGGCCCCCAAAGUGUGUAAGGAAAAACCUUUACCUCCAUAUAGGGGCCCCCAAAAAAAUUUUUAUACGGGGCCCCGACAAGGCACGCUACGCCACUGCUUUUGAUAUUUAAUAAAUCUAAUAAAUCGCGUUAAAUAUUCCAUGAAUAACUGGCAGCGUGUAGUGCAAAUGAUGUCUAUUUAUUUACACGUUUGAACUAUUCGGGGCGAGUGAAUUAAAUGUCUUGUGGUAAGCUGAAUGUUUUAACAGUGAUGGUUCGUCGGCCGUCGUCCGUCGGCUUUCCUUCCAAAGAACAAUCAAGACUUGCCUUUGAUUUGCCGUGUGCGAUGUAUACCGUAUUUGCCGUGUCUUGGAGUCCGAUAUGAUCUGCAUUG